ensembl:lncRNA
CUAGUAAUAAAAAAAAAACAACACACAGCGUUCACAUGAGAUGCUGUUAAUGAGGACGUGUUCUGUCUCAUUUAUGUGCAGUGUUGAAUCUGCAAGUGACAUCACCAUGUUUGCGUGUGCAUCAGUGUGGUGGACAGCAGGAAAGACCCGAGAUGUGUAUCAGCUGUACUUCUCAUUGCGGUGUCUCACUUAAGUACAGACAUAGCAUAAAAGGCAGCCUCAGUGCCCCGCCAGGGUCUGUGUCAUUCAAAGCUUCCUCGCCCCAGGGCAAGGCAGACAUGCCCUGCUGUGGGCUCCGUUCACAUUAGGCUGCUAGCUAUGAGGAGCUUGCAGCCACUGUGCCUUGGCUCUUCUGUCGCUGUCCUUGCACCUGUCCUGCAAAUGCUUCCAUGCUCAUCCUUGUCCUCGCCUGGCUGUGAGAACAGCGAACAACAGUUGUAGAACGGCAUCUGUUUUCUCUCUGUUUUUAACAGUAGUUUCUUAGUCGUAUUCAAUACUGUUGCUUCACCAAGCUAAGUUUUUCCUGGUGGAAAUGCAGUGCUUCAGGCAGAACAUCUUCCUCUAAAAUCUUGGAAAAAAAAACCCAAUCCAUUUUGACGCAAGAAUAAAAACGUUUCAAGGCAGAAUAUCUGUUUUAUGUGAAUCCUUGUGGAGAACUCCCAGCGUUAACUAAUGAGCCAAGACUGGAACCAUUAACACGAGCAGGACUUCUGUCAUUUACUUCAGGCUGAGCAGGUUUUGAUAUACGUCAUAAUUACCAUAAUUUUCUUUAACCAUCCAAACAGUGAAAGUGCUGUGCAGCCCACACAGUUAGGUUCUUGUUUUCUGUGAGCAAAGCAGCUCCUGCUUAUUUUAUUGGUAGCUGCAGCUGGGUAGGAAGCAUUUUGAGCAGUUGGACUUCACUAAAACAGAAAAGAACAAUGGAUUUUGGGCCCACAAAGAAUAUUCAGUGUUGGUUUGCUUUUUUUUCCCCCUUCUCUUAGAAGUAAAACCAUUGUAUGUUGUUAUUAUUAUUUUUUUCUUCUCAGGGUUAUUUCUUGUCAGUUCACAUUCCACAACUAACAGAGAAGAUAUUAUGUUAUACGUGUGGCUGUGAUAUUGGAGAGUGGCAAUACAAAUUACAGCCUGGGAUUCUAUAUUUCAUUGUCUCUCACCAAUACCAGGUUAGAUCUGCACAGAUUGGAAGUAAAAAUAUUGUAACGAACUUUGAAAACAGUCUUGUAAUUACCAGCUCCACAAAC